GAUGAACGCUGGCGGCGUGCCUAAUACAUGCAAGUCGAGCGAACGGACCAGAAGCUUUCUUUUCUUAUGUUUGCCGCGUACGUGUGCGUAACACGUGGAUAACCUACCUUUUAUACUUGGAUUACUUCGGGAAACCGGUGCUUAUACCGGCUAAUUUUUUGUUCCGCAUUGUUUUAAAGUUUAAGACGGUUUUGCUUUCUCUUAUUGAUUGUUCCGCGCUGCAUUUUCUAGUUGGUAAGGUAACGGCUUACCAAGGCAACGAUGCAUAGCCGACCUGAGAGGGUGAUCGGCCACACUGGAACUGAGACACGGUCCAGACUCCUACGGGAGGCAGCAGUAGGGAAUCUUACGCAAUGGGCGAAAGCCUGACGGAGCAACGCCGCGUGAGUGAUGAAGGUCUUCGGAUCGUAAAACUCUGUUAUUAGGGAAGAACAUAUGUGUAAGUAACUGUGCACAUCUUGACGGUACCUAAUCAGAAAGCCACGGCUAACUACGUG
rnacentral:rRNA from 1 species